GAUGAAGAACGCAGCGAAAUGCGAUAGGUAAUGUGAAUUGCAGAAUUCAGUGAAUCAUCGAAUCUUUGAACGCACAUUGCGCCCAUUAGUAUUCUAGUGGGCAUGCCUGUUCGAGCGUCAUUUCAACCCUCAAGCCUUAGUUGCUUGGUGUUGGGAGCUUAUCUUGCCGAAAGGCGGGACAACUCCUUAAAUUUAUCGGCGGAGUCGCGGUGACCCCAAGCGUAGUAAAUUAUUUUUUCCUCGCUUUAGGUGUUAACGCUGGCUUUUCUAGCCGUUAAACCCCCCCUAAUAUUUUAAUGGUUGACCUCGGAUCAGGUAGGACUACCCGCUGAACUUAAGCAUAUCAAUAAGCGGAGGA
rnacentral:misc_RNA from 1 species